rnacentral:rRNA from 1 species
CCUACGGGGGGCUGCAGUGGGGAAUAUUGCACAAUGGGCGCAAGCCUGAUGCAGCCAUGCCGCGUGUCUGAAGAAGGCCUUCGGGUUGUAAAGCACUUUCAGCGGGGAGGAAGGCGGUGAGGUUAAUAACCUCAUCGAUUGACGUUACCCGCAGAAGAAGCACCGGCUAACUCCGUGCCAGCAGCCGCGGUAAUACGGAGGGUGCAAGCGUUAAUCGGAAUUACUGGGCGUAAAGCGCACGCAGGCGGUCUGUCAAGUCGGAUGUGAAAUCCCCGGGCUCAACCUGGGAACUGCAUUCGAAACUGGCAGGCUAGAGUCUUGUAGAGGGGGGUAGAAUUCCAGGUGUAGCGGUGAAAUGCGUAGAGAUCUGGAGGAAUACCGGUGGCGAAGGCGGCCCCCUGGACAAAGACUGACGCUCAGGUGCGAAAGCGUGGGGAGCAAACAGGAUUAGAUACCCGUGUAGUC